UACGGAGGGAGCUAGCGUUGUUCGGAAUUACUGGGCGUAAAGCGCGCGUAGGCGGCUUUGCAAGUUAGAGGUGAAAGCCCGGAGCUCAACUUCGGAAUUGCCUUUAAAACUGCAUCGCUUGAAUCCGGGAGAGGUGAGUGGAAUUCCGAGUGUAGAGGUGAAAUUCGUAGAUAUUCGGAAGAACACCAGUGGCGAAGGCGGCUCACUGGACCGGUACUGACGCUGAGGCGCGAAAGCGUGGGUAGCAAACGGG
rnacentral:rRNA from 1 species